AGAGGCUGGGUCUGUAGCAGGAGAGGUAGAGGCUGGGUCUGUAGCAGGAGAGGUAGAGGCUGGGUCUGUAGCAGGAGAGGUAGAGGCUGGGUCUGUAGCAGGAG